AUGUUCUCGUUCGGUGGAGGAACCAGACUGGAUGUUGGAAGUGAUGUCCGUCCCACCCUGACGGUGCUGCCCCCCUCCAGCGAGGAGCUGCAGCAGGGGAAGGCCACGCUCAUGUGUCUGGCCAACGAUGGCUUCCCCUCAGACUGGAGUCUGGCCUGGAAGGUGGACGGCAGCAGCAGCAGCAGCUUGGAGCAGAGCAGGAGCCCCGGGGUGCUGCAGAAGGACGGCCGCUACAGCUGGAGCAGCACCCUGAGGCUCCCUGCAGACCAGUGGAGGAAGGUGGUCUCUGUGACCUGUGAGGCCACCCAGGGCUCCCAGACUCCAGUCUCAGAGACACUGAGGAGAGACCAGUGUUCCCAGUCCUGA